rnacentral:lncRNA from 1 species
AGGAGAAAAUAUAUAAUCAUAUAACUCACUUUAUUCAUCUCAUAAUCUCUGCAUUUUGCAAGGAGAUCGAAACUGAGCAAAACAUACGUACACAAAGACAGAGAAAUAAAAUAUAGGGUACAAACAAUAUCAAUAGCUUAGACAACAUGAAGCUACAAAAGAACUUCGCCUCCUGUGGGGCUUAUUAUUUACUCUUUUUUUUCUUCUUCUUUUCUCAUUGCCUCUCGAAAUUGGGAAAAGCCUUUUCUUUUAGCUCAACAUUAUGCUUUUCCUGCAUAAGAAUAUACAUUGUGUGCUUAGGUUCUUAGUAAUAUCAAAAGAAACUGAAAAUUCUGAACAGCUAAUAACUGAUAAAUGAAGCUAAGAAAACAAGAAGCAGAGAGCGCAGUUCUUUAUAUUAUAUUAAUGUUUUGCAUGAACACAGUUAUAUAUGCAAUUUGCUUUGCAUUCUUGACAUAUCAUUUGGAAAAUGUCUUAAUUAAUUUGGCUUAAUUACCUUCAACUUCGUGAUGUUACUUCUUAGUAGUGGUAGGGAGGAGGAGGAGAAGCGUAAAGAUAGGGGUGGUGUGGUGCUGGAGACUUGUAGACUGGAGUUGGUGGUGGAGGUGACUUGUAAACAGGAGUUGGUGGUGGUGGAGACAUAUAAACUGGUGCAGGAUGGUAUGGUGUUGGUGAAGGAUGGUAUGGCUUCACUGGUGGCGGUGGUGACUUGUAAACUGGUGCAGGAUGAUACGGUGUUGGUGAAGGGUGGUAUGGCUUCUUGGGUGGUGGUGGUGACUUGUAAACGGGAGCUGGUGGUGGUGGCGACUUGUAAACUGGUGUGUGUGGAGGGUAGUAUGGCUUCUUGGGUGGUGGUGGUGACUUGUAAACUGGAGUUGGUGGUGGUGGUGACUUGUAAACCGGGGUGUGUGGAGGGUAGUAUGGCUUCUUGGGUGGUGGUGGCGACUUGUAAACUGGAGUUGGUGGUGGUGGAGACUUAUAAACCGGGGUGUGUGGAGGGUAGUAUGGCUUCUUGGGUGGUGGUGGCGACUUGUAAACUGGAGUCGGUGGUGGUGGAGAUUUGUAAACAGGGGUGUGUGGAGGGUAGUAUGGUUUCUUGGGUGGCGGCGGUGACUUGUAAACCGGAGUUGGUGGUGGUGGCGACUUGUAAACUGGGGUGUGUGGAGGGUAGGAUGGCUUCUUGGGUGGUGGUGGUGACUUGUAAACGGGAGUUGGUGGUGGUGGCGACUUGUAAACCGGGGUGUGUGGAGGAUAGUGUGGCUUCUUGGGUGGUGGUGGUGACUUGUAAACUGGAGUUGGUGGUGGUGGAGAUUUAUAAACGGGUGCAGGAUGAUAUGGUGUUGGUGAAGGGUGGUAUGGCUUCUUAGGUGGCGGUGGAGACUUAUAUACAGGGUGGUGGGGUGGUGAUGGAUAGACAUGCACUGGUGGAAGAGGAGACUUGUAGAGGUAUGGUUUCUUAGGUGGUGGUGGAGAU